rnacentral:rRNA from 1 species
AACGUAGGUGGCAAGCGUCAUCCGGAAUUACUGGGCGUAAAGGGUGUGCAGGCGGGGUUGCAAGUGGUGUAUGAAAUAUCCCAGCUUAACUGGGAGGGGUUAUGCCAGACUGCAACUCUAGAGGACGAGAGAGGGGGGUGGAAUUCCGGGUGUAGUGGUGAAAUGCGUAGAGAUCCGGAGGAACCCCAGAGGCGAAGGCGGCCCCCUGGCUCGUACCUGACGCUCAGCCACGAAAGCGUGGGGAGCAAACAGG